GAUGAAGAACGUAGCGAAAUGCGAUAAGUAGUGUGAAUUGCAGAAUUCAGUGAAUCAUCGAAUCUUUGAACGCACAUUGCGCCCUUUGGUAUUCCUUAGGGCAUGCCUGUUCGAGCGUCAUUUAAACCUUCAAGCUAAGCUUGGUGUUGGGUGACUGUCCGCUUCACGGCGGACUCGCCACAAAAUUAUUGGCGGCCGGUACAUUGGCUUCGAGCGCAGCAGAAACGCGAACUCGGGCCCGUCGUAUUGGCUCCCAGAAGCUAUCUUCACAAUUUUGACCUCGGAUCAGGUAGGGAUACCCGCUGAACUUAAGCAUAUCAAUAAGCGGAGGA
rnacentral:misc_RNA from 1 species